CAAACCAGAGACUGUCGUCCACCCUCCUCUUCUCGCCCUUUCUCUCUUUGCUGGGCAUAUCAGUGUGUUUGCAUGCCUCGAAACUCCUAGUUAGAGACCUCCGAUCAAAAAACUUUCUUCAUCAAAGUUGUUCGUCUACGUCUCCUUUAUCUAGUCUCCAAAUUUCAGCUUCAUCGGAGACGUUUUGGGACCUGUAUAUCCCUCGAAGAAGAAGCUGUUCGGAAGCGAGCCUGUUCCGGAUUUCUGCUUAAACUCCCUCUCUUGCUCUACCCGAAUCCCCAACACCUUGCUUGAGACUGAUACCAACAGUUGAUAAGAUUCUUAAACUAUCAAGUUCCUAAUUCAUUCCUCAAUUUUUAGGCUCAAUACGUUCAAAACAACCCAUCUACAUAUUGAGCAGUCUCUGUUUCACUUUGCAUGUUCGAGAUUGAGCGAACUUCUUGGCCUGCGGGUGGACUCGAUCCAAUCAGCUCCCUCAGCUCUCUUUCCUAUUGAAACCCUCAAGAAAAACUCACCUUUUUUAUUAAUCUUUGACUAUUUUACAGUGAAGAUAUUCCAUGGAGGGCGCAUACUGUUAAAACCUGUCAAACGCACUUGCCACCAAAGGAAAACAAAAAGAGGAAGGUCAGGAAUGAAGAAGGUCAAGGUUCUGAUUAGGCCAGGAGAGGGAAGAAAGGUCAUAUGUCUGCAAAUGAAUUGAGGAAGAAAGCAAGGGAGAGAGCAGAGUAUCAAAGGAAAAAGUUUGCUGCUGCCAAAGUGCAAAGCUGGCAGCAAAUAGGUCUGCCCCUUCCACAUCAAGGCCUGCACAAUCUACAACCAGACCUACAAGCUCCAGGCUAGCCCAAACUACAUCCGCCUCAACCAGACCUACGAGUUGAAGGCCUCCACAACCUUCAACAGCAUCAAGCAAGUAGGCUGCAACUUCAACAAGGACAUCUCAGAGGAUAAGAGAAAGGUCAGUUACAAGAGAUGGAAAAUAGGAAGUAUGACUCAAUGUCUAGCAUAGGCAGCAAUUUCAUUCUUGACAUCCUUUUUUGUGCAACUAUGUGCUAUGUCACUUAGUUGCUAGCUCUAAUCUUUUGUUAAGAUGAUUAGAGCUAAAUGUCAAACACAUCUGAACAAUUUAUGAGGGAUGUAAUGCUCUAAUUUUGGUUUUUGUUACGUUAGAGC